GGGCUGCCGCGGCUCCUCCCCAAAGACCCGCCGCCUAAAGGCUCCUACGGCUCAUACUAGCUUAACCUGCUCCAGGCACCCGUUGGGGGCGGGAGGCUCUUGGUCGCCCAGGGUCUGUAAGAGCUGCUGUGGAGGAGGCGGAAGGAGGCCACACCCUUCGGGGCCGGAGGAGGGGAGAGGAGUGCUGCAAUACCUUUAUGGGAGUUCUCUUCUGCCUCUAGUCUUAUAAGGACCGCCCUGGGUCUAGAAGAAUCCCUCCCCACACCCACCCGGUGACUCGUCAUCGCCUCCAUGUCGAGUUGCUUCUGGAUUAUGGGCGGGAUUCUUAUGCCCAGGCUUAAAGGCUAACCUGGUGCCUGGGCGUUGUCCUGCAGGGAGUUGAGCUGAUGUAAGAUUUGAGUCCAGUCUGUACCUUCUCACAGACUUCAGCUGGUAUCAAGAAGUGAUUAUAAUAGGGGUAGGGGGAAAGGAAAUGGGGCUGAUUUUAUGCAACGAGACUGCAGGAUAUUACUACUUAAGAUUAUUUUCCCUAGAGGUAGAAGGAGAUAAAUUGAGGCAUACUCACCCCGUUUGAGACCCUUGAUCACCACCAAAGCAUCUUAGAUUAAAUCUUAGCAGUGAAAUUUUAACCUUUGCUUGGGAACCCAGUGCUUCCUUCCACCUCCCUCCCUGCUCCUUCUCCCUUUGCAUCCUUACAAGGUUAUCUUAGCGAUUCUCACUUUGCUUUCAUCUCAUUUUCCAUUUGUAUACUUGCUCAUCCAAUCUUGAGACAUACCACUGGCUUUCUCUCUCCUGAUCUUAGGUAACCUGGUGAGUCAUAAAACCAGACAGAUUGGUUCCACCACAAAUUAAGACUUGAGCACAUCACUCUUACUCAUUAAUGCUUUUAUUCCUCCCUAAUACACUUCCUUGAAUGUUUACCUAGGUUUUCAUGUUAGCCUUUUUCCUCUGCAGGGGUUCUACCCCCUGACCUUAUUCACAAUCCAGAUGACCUUGACUACUGCUUUAUUGAGAAUUGGACCUGAGGUUCAGCAAGAUGCGUCCCUUGAUUUCUGUUCUUAUCAGUAACAAGAGCUCAGAUCCUUGUAUGAUAAAACCCUUCAAACUCUGUCUCUUGUCUCCAGUUUUAUCUUUUUUGUUUUUGACACAAAGCCUCGAGCUGUUACCCUGGGUAGAGUGCUGUGGUAUCAUCAUAGCUCACCUCCAUCUCCAUCUCUUGGGCUAAAGCGAUACUCUUGCCUCAGUUUUUUUUUCUAUUUUUAGUAGAGACGGGGGUCUCGAUUUUUGCUCAGGCUGGUCUCAAACACUUGAGUUCAAGCAGUCUACCCAACUUGACCUCCCACAGAGCUAGGAUUACAGUCAUGAGCCACUUGCUUGGCCUCCAGUGUUAUGCUCCAUAUUACAUCUUUCUGGGGCAUUAGGAAAGAUGUAAUAUGGAUUCAUGAGGAAAUAAGAGCAUGAAAGUGACAGAUGAAACAAACUAUUGCCAGCUUUUUACUAUUAUGGGAUGAAUUCUGUCCUCAUGAAUGUGACGCAAGGUCCCUCAAUGAGCUAAAAUUAACAGCUUUUCCAGUUGUGACUUUUCUGCAUAUACACAAACACUACCUCUCAAACGCAAGUCUAUGGAAUUGAUUGCUCUUUACUCAAAUCACAGAGGUAUUGUCAUGCAUCUUUGUAGGAUGAUUCCUUCUGGAGUGGCACCCCUGCUGCUGCUUACUCUUCAAUAUUUAAAAUUAAAAAAAAAAAAAAACAAACAACUUAAGAUUCAGGUGUCAUGUUCCUUCUGGUCUUGCCUUCCAUGAUGUAUUCCAGGGGUUCUCAAACUACGACCAGUGGGCCAAUGUGGCCCGCCAAGGACAUUUAUCUGGCCUGCUGGGUGUUUUUGCCACAGCUGCCUGUCUUGCUUAGCAGCCGACUUCUCCAGAGCCUCCAGAGCUGCAGUGCAAAUGUGUGGAAUGUGUGCCAACUCUCUGACUCCACUCCUUUUCUCUGUCUCUCCCCACCCCUCCCCUCUCUCUCUCCCCACUGGGUGUUUUUGCCAUUCUGCUUAGCAGCCCACUAGUCCCAGCCCACAGUGCGCAUUGGAAUGUGCCCCACACUCUCCGACUCCUCAGUCUCUGGUGUAAUCAGAGGAGUCACCAGGUUGCCUGUGCAGAGCCUGCUGCUGCCUAAGGACUGAGUACAAGGAAAGAGCUGUGUGUUUGAUAUGCCAGAAUAUAGUGCCUGUGUUCAAAGAACACAACUUGUGUCGAUACUAUCAAACUCAACAGAUAAAUAUGAUUGGUUGGUUGGAGAAGUGAGAAAAGAUAAAAUAUUAAAACUGAAAUAUACAUUGACAACUCAGCAAAAUACUUCACUGCGAGCAAGUUUUCAAGUUGCCAAGCUAAUAAUAGCGUGCACUGGCAGACUAGUGAUGGAGGGAGAAUUUGUUAAAGAGUGCCUUCUUUCUGUUGCCAAAGAGAUGUGUCCAGAGAAGGCCGAUUUAUUUAGUAUAGUGAGUCCUUCAGGACCCUCUAUUACAUGAAGGACUGAAUAAAUGGGAGACAAUUUGCAUCAGCAUUUGCAAAACUCCGCAAAAAAACUUUCCUAUUUUUCCUUGGCACUCGAUGAAAGUAAUGAUGUUCAUGAUUCUGCACAACUUCUAAUUUUUAUUCAUGGGACGAAUGACUAUUUUGAAGUCACAGAAGAGCUUGCUGCACUGCAAAGCAUCAAAGGAACAACUACAGGACAGGAUAUCUAUGAAAAGGUUUGCCAAACUGUGAAUGGUUUGGAGCUGGACUGGGCAAAACUAGCCAGUGUGACAACUGAUGGUGCUCCUAGCAUGGUGAGGGUCAAAGAAAGGAGUAAUUGCUCACAUUAACCAAGAGAUGGACAAACAUAACCAGUUUCAUCCAAUAGCCAUACACUGCCUCAUCCACCAACAAGUGCUAUGUAGUACAUCACUGAAGUGGGACUCUAUUAUGAAAACUGUAGUAUCUUGUGUUAACUUCAUUAGAGGUAAUGCACUAAACCACAGACAAUUUCAGGAAUUUCUGUCUGAGCUAAAUGUUGCCUGUGAAGAUGUUUUGUAUCACACAGAAGUCCGUUGGCUGAGUCGAGAGAGAGUUUUGAAACAUUUCUAUGACUUACUUCCACAGAUUACAGCUUUUCUGCUUUCAAAAAACAAAGAAGUACCAGAGCUCAAUGAUGCAGAAUGGAAAUGGCACCUUGCCUUCUGACAGAUGUAACAGAGCUACUCACAGUUUCAAUGUGCAACUUCAAGGAAAAGGGAAGCUUAUCUGUGAUAUGCAAUCACAUGUGAAAGCAUUUGAAGUAAAAUGAGGCCUCCUCAUCAAACAAGUGAAGGAGGAAAAUUUCUGCCAUCUCCCCACAACUCAAAAUCUGUUAGCGGAAAAUCCAUUGGUUGCAUUCCCAAAUAAAACGUGUGGAUUCACUGGAAAAGUUGCAAAAGGAUUUCCGAUUUAGAUUUAAAGAGCUUCAUCUCCUUAAACAGGACAUACAGCUUUUCCGUAACCCAUUUUCUAUUGACAUUGAACAUGUGGAUACGAUUUACCAAAUGGAACUGGCUGAACUGCAGAAUUGUGACUCUCUGAAAGAUGUAUUUAAGUCAAGCAGCCUUCCUAAUUUCUAUGUCUCUCUCCCCUCUGAGACAUAUUCUAAUCUCAGGAACCAUGCACUCAAAAUGGCAAAUAUCUUUGGCAGCACUUAAAUCUGUGAACAGACUUUUUCCAGAAUGAAACAUCUGAAAUGUCCAACCAGAUCUAGACUAACUGAUGAAUACUUGCAUCACUUGUUACGACUAGCAGUGGCAAAUAUGGAACUGGACAUUGACCAUCUCAUUAGCCAAAAGCAGACCCAUAGUUCCCAUUGAAAUACUGAAUCAUUGUUGACGCGUGGAUUCACUAGAAGAAAAAGUAAAUUGUGUUCUUUGGUUGGUUGAACUAAAAUCUACUGCUUCUGUCCAAAGAUUUAGAACCCAUUAUAAGAAAGAAGCAAAACACAGGAAUUCCAUAUCCAAGUGGAUGAAAAAACUGAAUGAAACGGUUUCUGUCAAUGAUAAUCCACUGUCUGAUAGGCCACAUGUUAGUGAAGAAACCAUAAUAUCCCUAAAAGGAACCUCUGAGGCAAGUCCGGCAUCAACUAGAGUUGAGGCUUUCAAAGUCUACUGUGCAUCAGAUUCAGUUGAGGCUUUCAAAGUCUACUGUGCAUUAAGACGGGCAUCAACUAGAGUUGAGGCUUUCAAAGUCUACUGUGCAUCAGAUUCUGCAGACAAGACUUCACAUGAAAGCUUACAAGAUUCAGGUGCGUCAGAUGUUAUGAGAGGAUUAUCAUGCACUAACUUUCUGUCACCAGUUCAACAAAAACUUAGCAACUGAUGCAUUUUUGAGUAAUUUAAUGUUCUCAGAUGAAGCAACAUUCCACGUUAGUGGCAAGGUCAAGAGGCGUAAUUGCCAUAUUUGGGGAACUGAAAAUCCACGAGUCUAUUGAACAUGAAAAAGGUUCUCCCAAAGUUAAUGUGUGGUGUACUUUGGGGAAAAAAUUGAGUCAUAGGGCCAGUCUUUUUUAAAGGGUGUAUUGUUAAUGGUGAUAGCUAUUUAGAAAUGCUGCAAAAUUAUUUUAUUCCUCAGUUUGAACAGUUUGGACUGAUAGAGAAUUUAGUGUUUCAACAAGAUGGUGCUCCUUAUCACUUUGCUUUGUAUGUUAGACAGUUUCUGCAUGAGAAAUUCCCUAACAGGUGGAUUAGAAGAGAUGGACAAUUUUCUUGGGCCAGAUUUGACUCCAUUGGAAUUCUUUUUAUGAGGACAUGUGAAAACUAUUGUUCAACCAAUCCUCAAUCUUUAGAAGACUUGCAAGCUAGGAUAACUGAUGUGAUUGCUGGAAUUACUGAAAAUCAGCUUGAAAAUGUUUUCAGAGUAACUACAGAAUCAGAUUACCCUUUGUAUUAGUAAUGAUAAAUAGACGUGUUGAAAAUUAACAAGAACAAUAAAAUGUUUCUUCUUAUCCUUUUACAGAUUCUAUCACAUAUAUUUACAAAGUUACAACUAUUUUAAAUUACACACAAACUUUAUGGACACCCUGCAUAAAACCCUGUUUUACAGAACAGGAAACCAAGGCUCAGUAAGGUUGAGCAAUUUUCUCAUGGACAACUUCAAACUGACAGCAGAGGAUUCAGACUCUAGUCUGACAGUUGGUAUUCCUAUUCAUCUUGAAGUACUACAUUUAUCUGAUGGAAACAUUCUUUUAGGAAAUUUAAUCUGGCUGCAGGAUACAGGACGGAUUGUAGGGAUAGAGAGAUUUGAAAGUUGACUGGAUCCACAGAUGGGGAACCUGAGGAUACAGAAGGCCAAGUGUAUUUAUACCUUAAAAAUGGCUGAGUCUGUAAAUAUGGCUGGACUAGUUACUUCAGUUUGCCAUGCAUCAGCAUCAACUAAUCAAAGAUACUCUUAUGUGAAAGCUUGGUGGCAGACACAUGUCCUGACAUAGUCCAAGUGUGGGAUAAUUUUUUUAAUUUUAUGGUUUAUCCUAAACAGCUGUACAUUGACCUUUGUACUAGUGGUAGAAAGGUAACAGUGGGGAAAACUUGAGGAACCUUGGCACUAAUCAAGGCAGCAGCAUCAAACUAGAAGUUAUUCUUCAGUCAUGCAUUUGGAGUAUGAACUCAAAAAAAAAAAGACUGGGUUCACUUUAAAAUGUCCUUGUGGGAGCAAUAAAAUUAUGUUGUUAAAUCUAGUCCCCCCCCCCAAAAAAAAAAAAAACAAGCGUGCAUAAAGUGCUUAGUAAGAUGGUCUGAAUCAGCUACUAAUUUCUUAGAGCUUAAAAUUUUCACUUGAAAGAAUGACAGACUUUGGUUAUUCAGAGUUAGCUGUUGGUCAGACAUUUUCUCAAAAAUCAUGGAAGUGAGCCUAUCAAAAAGAACUAAUUGUCCAUAAUAAAAUCCAAACUUUGAAGUGAAAACUCAGAAUUUUGGGGAAAGUUGUGUCUGCUAUGAGGAAUCUGACAGCUUCCCAAAGCCUUUUUUUAAGAGAUAAGUAGUGAUAUUUACGAAUAUUUUUUGAUACUAUAUAGCAGGUGUCCUCAAACUUUUUAAACGGGGGGGGGGCCAAUUCACUGUCCCUCAGACCGUUGGAGGGCCGGACUAUAGUUUAAACAAAACUAUGAACAAAUUCAUAUGCACACUGCACAUAUCUUACUUUGAAGUAAAAAACAAAACGGAACAAAUAAAAUUCACAUCGCUUCAUGUGGCCUGUGGGCCGCAGUUUGAGGACACCUGCUAUAUAGUGAAAAGGGCCAACUUCUUUUUAUAGUUUCAUGAAACUGUCAAUAAUGCAUGUUACUAUAAUAUUUAAAAUUUUUUGUAUUCUAAUAUGGUAAAAUGUUAGUAUGUAGGGCCUUCAAUUUUAAUAACGUGAAGGGAUCCUGAGGCCACAAAUUUUAAGAAAUGACUGCUCUAGCACAAUGCACAUAAUAAACACAAAGCUGUUGAAUGACUAGGUGGAGUUAAAAGAUGACUCCUAUUAGACCUGGAUGACUAGGAUUAUGGGCAUGCUAAGACAGGGUGAAGAAAGAAUGUUCAUGUUGAAUUUUAGGUGGAACAUACAAAGCAAACUAUAGUAACAGGCAGUUGGAAAUACAGAAUUUGGGCUUGAAAUAAAAUACCAAAAGGAUUUCUCCUUUCUGUUAAAAAAUUGUUUCUACCAUAACUUCAGUUAAUAGUGUUACAAGUUAUCCAUCCCUAGGACAAAAAUGUAAAGGGUUCAGCAUUAUAGCAUGCCCAGCCCUCUAACCACAUGAUGGCCUGUGUCACCUCAUUAUACACAAUCUUCCUCAUCUUUUCAGAUUCUUAAUGGUACAGGAUACCUACUUCAAUGGUAAAAUCCAGUGUUACACUGUGCAAUGUACAGGAUACCUACUUCCAAGGUUACACAAGUACUAGGUAUCAGAUGUAAGUCAACUGAAGGCCCAAUUUCUACUUCUAGCUCAUUACCUACCUAUUCAAGUUACCAAACACCAUACUAGGGGGAGAGGAUGGCAAGCUGACAUCUACUACAUAUACUUGCAUGAGUGGUUACAUGUUAAUUGCAGUAUCUGAUAGGAUUAAAGCUGUGUUGAGUGAAGUACAAAAUUGAUUAUUUCCUUAAAAUAAUUCCUAAGUAUUUUACAGAAGUUCAUUAAUUUCUUCAACAAAUAUUAAAUGCCCAGUCUGGCAGGUACUGUGCCAGUGCCAGUCACUGUAAAACAGUGAUGAAAACACAUGGUCCUUAUUUUUUUUUGGUUUUGUGAACUGCUGACCAACUUUCACUUAGUUUGAGGUUUAAAUGAUUUCUUUUAUCAGAAGUGAAAAGUUACUUGCGAUCUACCUAUAAAUACAAUUGCAAGAUGACAAUGGCAAAAACACGCCUUCUACUUUGAAUUCGUUGUCAAAUAUGGGGUAGGACAUCAUAGAAAAAACAGACUAGGACUGUUGGCUACGUGUCUAAAGUGAAUUCUUCCAAAGGAAGUACUAUGCCCUUUUAUUCUAAAUAAGUGGUUCUCAACCUUCCUAAUGUUGAAACCCUUUAAUACAGUUCCUGUGGGUUGCAACCCACAGGUUGAGAACCACUGUUCUAAAUGGAGACAUCAAAGUGAACUAUUAUAUACUAACAUAACACUAAAAAUCUAAGCUGAAUGCAGCCAAAUGCUUUAGCCUAAAUGAAUUCCACAUAAAACUUCAACUACUCUUUGUCCCAGGGAAUCAACCAUUUUUGUAAGGAUUUAAUGUUGAGGUCAUUUUAUUUUCCACAAAAUUAUCUUAGAAAGGACAGGCUAUAACUGUAAAAAUAACUAAAUAUCAAUAGAAAUCAAGGAGAAAAUAACAAAAAAAAGAUACAUGACUCAAAGUUUUUCAUUCAAAGAUAAUGCCACUUUUUUCUCUAGCCCUUCUAAGAAACUAGGCACAAAAAUACAGGUUUGGUUUUGAAAAAACAAACCCUGGGGGCUUCUCACUUGGAUACCCCCCCCCUACUGCCACAGGUUCUAUUCCCCUUCCUUUGCUUAUUAAUCUUCCCCUCAAUAAACUCUAUCUUGGCACUUAAAAAAGAAAAGGGCAGUGCACAUGGCUCAAAGGAGUAGGGUGCUGGCCCCAUAUACCAGAGGUGGUAGUUUCAAACCUGGCCCCGGCCAAAAACUGCAAAAAGAAAAAAAGCACACAACUUUGUGUAUGGAAAGGAAAAGUUUUUAGUUUGGUUUGCUGGUCCCAGACCUCAUCUACCAGCAUGUAUGGUAUUUACAAAAAGAAAUAGUGCAUAGAACAGUGAAGUAUCUUUGCAUUGGCAAUCUCUUUGAUAAAUCCUGGUACCAUUUUAAUUCUUAAGGCAAAUGGUAAACUUUGCUAUAGGUCCUGUGAAAUUUGAUUUUGUCAUGGGGCGAACCCUGUUCAUAAAAUGUAAAAUGUUUGAGAUGGAAGUAAAGAACUUGAGCAACUGAAUAGCAAAGCUGAUAGGCAAUGAAAUGUAGCCUAACAUGUUUUCUAAUUAUGUUUUCUGUCUUUUAGGUCAGGGCAGCUUUGAACUUGCUACAAUAGAUAACAGGCUAUGAAGCCCAAAAAUAAAAUGUUCUAAACCCAAAUUCUAGAGCAUUUCUAUAGGCUUUUCAUUAUACAUCUUUAAAGUGUUUUUUUUGUUUGUUUGUUUGUUUUUUAUCUUUAAAGUGUUUUAAGCAAAACACUCAUUGCCUGGCUAUCCUUUUAA